rnacentral:tRNA from 3 species
CAAGUCCCUCUAUCCCCAA